rnacentral:rRNA from 1 species
GAUGAACGCUGGCGGCGUGCCUAAUACAUGCAAGUCGAGCGAACGGACGAGAAGCUUGCUUCUCUGAUGUUAGCGGCGGACGGGUGAGUAACACGUGGAUAACCUACCUAUAAGACUGGGAUAACUUCGGGAAACCGGGGCUAAUACCGGAUGAUAUUUUGAACCGCAUGGUUCAAAAGUGAAAGAAGGUCUUGCUGUGACUUAUAGAUGGAUCCGCGCUUCAUUAGUUAGUUGGUAAGGUAACGGCUUACCAAGGCAGCGAGGCAGAACCGACCUCAGAGGGGCGUCGCCCACCCUGGCACUGAGACACGGCCCCCACUCCUAGGGGGGGCAGCAGCAGGGACUCUUCCGCAAUGGGCGAGAGCCUGACGGAGCAACACCGCGUGAGUGAUGAUGGUGUUCGGACCGUAAAACUCUGUUAUUCGGGAAGAACAUAUGUGUAAGUAACUGUGCACAUCUUGACGGUACCUAGUCAGAAAGCCACGGCUAACUACGUG